CAGUAGCCACGGUAAUACGUAGGUGGCAAGCGUUGUCCGGAAUUAUUGGGCGUAAAGGGCUCGCAGGCGGUUUCUUAAGUCUGAUGUGAAAGCCCCCGGCUCAACCGGGGAGGGUCAUUGGAAACUGGGAAACUUGAGUGCAGAAGAGGAGAGUGGAACUCCACGUGUAGCGGUGAAAUGCGUAGAGAUGUGGAGGAACACCAGUGGCGAAGGCGACUCUCUGGUCUGUAACUGACACUGAGGAGCGAAAGCGUGGGGAGCGAACAGGAUUAGAUACCCCAGUAGUCCCUGUCUCUUAUAU
rnacentral:rRNA from 1 species